GCUAGCGCGGAUGCGCGACUGCGCGCACCGGGACCACUCUCUUUAAGUAGUAUCGGAGUCAGCACCAUCUAAAACGUAUUUGUAGAGAAUUUCGUGAAAAAAAUAUCCAUUUUCUUAGAUACAAGUCGACGCCACAACCGGGUUUCGAUUCUUGGUCAAAGCUUGCACCAGUGAGAAAUUAAGGAAGCCUGUGCAGGCUUUCGACCUGCUAGAAAUAGCAGCUACAUUUCCCCUCGCUGCACAAAGUCGUUGGUGGUGGGGGGCACAUAUGUGGAGGUACGCGCUUUCUUCUACAAGACGGAAGAUUGCCGGAUGUAAUAUGAGGGAGAAUUGAGAGCUAAAUUUAGCUUCGAGGGAGAAUUUGGGCGCUAAAUUUAGCGGGUCGGGUCCAACGCACUUGACAUUUUUCCAGGAUUUCCACAGUUAAACGCCUUGGUUAAGACUUCCUCACCUCUUUUAAUUAGGCUUCGGCAAAUCACGUUGAACACAGACGAGAUUUCGGUCGAGAUUUCAUCGUGCUUUUUGCGGGUGUAUAUAUGUAUACUCAGAUACACAGGUGUGUAUAUGUGGAUAUAUGCCUUCUACAAAGUAUCUGUGUGUAUGUGUGGUGUGCGCGUGUGUUCAAUGAAUGCUGAGGAAGAACGAAGCCAAGUUGGUCUACACUUGGUCCGUAACAAUGUAAGCUAGCAGUCAUUCAUAAUUCUCAGUCGCUUACUACUAUAUAGAUAAAUAUACACACAUAUAUAUAUAUGUCACUCUCCAACACACCCAGACGGAUACAACAACUUAUAUACACUCGUAUGGAUCAUAUAUAUUUAUUGAUUGAGCAUCGCCAACAAACCAAAUUGUUUUGCAGAACCAUCACUCUGACAACUCUAUAAUUAUAUAUAUAUACAUACGUAUAUAUACACAUACAUACAUAUAUAUAUAUAUAUAUAUAUAUAUAUAUAUAUAUAUACACACACAUAGAUACUACAAUCGCGCGCGCACCUUGUCAUAUAUAUUUAUAUAUAUAUAUAUAUAUAUAUAUAUAUAUAUAUACAUACAUAUACACACACGUACAUACUACAUACGAGCGCGCACCUUGUCAUAUAUAUAUAAUCAUUAAUUAAAAUCUUAGGGUAGCAAGAAUAUUUAUCGAAAAAAUUCUUAGUUACCAGUGGUCUAGCGGGAAGGAAAAAAAUUAGUCAAUAGACUAUAUCUGAUAUAUAUAUAUAUAUAUAUAUAUAUAUAUAUAUAUAUAUAUACAUACAUAUAUAUAUAUUUAGGUUUGUGUGUAUAUAUAUAUAAAGGGAUCGCCCUUUUAAGUAGAAAGAAUAGCCAAAACUUUUUGACUGCUAUUUCUAAAUUCGGUAUGUGGUGAGGCAAAUCGUUGCUGAACCCUUAAUUAAUUAGUAUUACUUAAAUCUUCCUUGAAUGGGUCUUUUACAUGCCGAACUCUACUUGGUGAAAUUAAUGAUUAUUUCUAAAUUAAUUCAUUUCACCCUAUAUUAUUGAUAUAUAUAUAUAUGUGCGCGUGUGUAUUGUAACCAACAAACAAGUUAUCUGUAACCCCCAUCGUUGUACUAAAAUGUCACUAAUUGCCCACAGCCUUAUUAUCAGUUAUCCCUUUCCGCAAAUCUGAUCUUAAUCCAACUGCUCUCACCUACCACGAAUUAGCAGCCACUAAAUCCCUGGGAUGAUCCUAUCCGUGACGCGACUUCGCCUGCUUUGUUAACAAAAACAAGUAAGUAUUUCUUUCCCAUCUAUCUCUACCGUAUUUCUGCUUUACACACACACACACACACACACAUAUAUGUGUAUUGUGAUCGAAGACGAUCCACUCAUGACCAUCACGUCCUUCUCUGUUUCGCCUUACGUAUCACAAUCUACGUUAUCUUCUUUCAAUGUAUCGUCUUUUAUUUUUAAGAAUAUGGUAUAUAUGAAUUCUACUCUAAUAUUAUUCCGUUUUUAUUUUUUAUGUAUUUGAUAACGGCCCCAGCAUGGCCACAGCUCGUGAGCUGAAACUAGAUAAAAUAAAAUAAAGAUAAAAAAUAAAAUAUGGGUGUUUUGAGGGAGGUAGGUUGUUGCUUCUAGCAAGUCAAGACACCACAUAGAACAAUGAUUUACCGAUUUUCUUACGUAUUUCUCACCUUAUGACCCUGUCUUUCUCUAUAAUUAAGGUACAUAAAACAAAAAAUACAACCAGCCCCAGAAGCAAGUGCCCCUAAGUGUAGUUUCCCACCCUCUCCGAGAUCUUCCGUUGAUGGAAUACGGUCUUUGACAUCUUUUUAAUUGUUUGGCUAUAAUUUAAAAAUCUUGCGACACCUUGUCAGAAACCAUUCGCAGACUCCGUCGUUGGAUCGUCUUUAUAUUUUACACUCUAUGAAUUACCAACUGGUAUAUAUAUACACAUAUAUGUAUAUAUAUUCAUACAUAUAUGUAUGUAUGUAUAUUGCUAGCAUUAUGAUCGAAGACUAUAUAUAUAUACACACAUAUAUAUAUAUUCAUACAUAUAUGUAUGUAUGUAUAUUGCUAGCAUUAUGAUCGAAGACUAUAUACAUAUAUUAUACAUACAUAUAUAUAUGCAUACACACACACACACAUAUAUAUAUACAUGAAUAUACAUAUUUGCACAGGUAUAAAUUAUACACACACGCUUGUGUGUGUGUAUACGUGCGUAUAUAUGUAUGUAUUACCACAGUUAACUAACCGGUUCGUUGUUUAAUUGAAAUAUACACACCUCUACUUAUAAACGGGUUUGUUGUGUAUACAUCAAUCUCAUUCUUGAAAUAGUUUGUGCUUUUUUUUUUCUUUUUUAACUUAAGAUAUCUAAGACAUCAAGAGUUCACCAUCAUUCCCCAUUCAUACGAGUUAUCGGGCGAACCUCCACGUAAUCAUUCGACCUGCUAGAAAUUGCAACCGAAUCUUUCUCAGUUCGUACCCUAUUUAAUUGAAAAAUACAUUUGAU
rnacentral:lncRNA from 1 species